GCAGCAGGUUGGUUUGUCGCUCUCUUUAAAAGGAGGGAGGAAAGUCCGGGCAACGCAGAGCACCAUGUUUCCUAACGGGAAGCUGUUCGUGAGGGCAGAUUAGUGUAACAGAAAAUAACCGCCUUGUUUUAUAACAUGGUAAGGGUGAAAAGGUGGAGUAAGAGCCCACCGGGUGUUGUGGCAACACAGCAUGCCGUACGCAUUAUGGGUUGCAAGGCCAUGUAUAUCGGAUAAGUAGGGCUGCUCGUCCGACGCCGAGGGGUAGGCCGCUUAGAUAAAUGACAGACACCCAAUUUAAUUGGGCACAGAACCCGGCUUACAGACCGGCUGCUUUU
rnacentral:RNase_P_RNA from 1 species